rnacentral:misc_RNA from 1 species
CCGGAAAAUUUAUCAUUCCUACGGUAAGUAAUCCUGAGCCCCAUAGCAAAAAAUUGUUGUAAGAAUGAAUUAUUUCUAGCUAAUCACUUUGAACUGCAAGAAAUAGCUUGGUAUCAGUAUGCUUGAAUUUUACCGUUAGGAUUUCCUGAAAAAGAAAAGUCCAAAAGGUUUUCAAUGUUUUAACUAGACAUUUCUGUCUUGCAGCUGACCAACCUGGCUAGUGUAUGGUUCCUGGCACUUUUCCUUUCCAUCAUAGCAACAAGUGUCCUAGAGCUU